UAUUCUCUAAGCGUAAAAAACAACUCACUCGGGCACAAGUCCAUGCGAAUUUCUUUUCUGAGUUUUUAUAUCUAGCAUUUAAUUUCUAGUGAUUUUUCUUAUCUAUUUUUAAUUAUGGGUUUGCCAAAUGCACUAACCUAGCUCUUAUUUAUAAACUUUUGUGGGGUCUUGAGAAAUGGGAUGGUGUUUAAUUGAAUUUGUAUUUUAUUUCUUUGAUUUUUCACUCUAUUUGUUGUAGAUUUGUUGCACGCCUAAGUUUAUUUAUUUA
rnacentral:lncRNA from 1 species